UUAUUUUUCACAUAGCGAGGAAAGAACCCAACAGGGAUUGCCCCAGUAACGGCGAGUGAAGCGGCAACAGCUCAAAUUUGAAAUCUGGCCUCGGCCCGAGUUGUAAUUUGCAGAGGAUGCUUCUGGCGCGGUGCCUUCCGAGUUCCCUGGAACGGGACGCCACAGAGGGUGAGAGCCCCGUAUGGUCGGACACCAAGCCAGUGUGAAGCUCCUUCGACGAGUCGAGUAGUUUGGGAAUGCUGCUCUAAGCGGGAGGUAUACGUCUUCUAAAGCUAAAUACCGGCCAGAGACCGAUAGCGCACAAGUAGAGUGAUCGAAAGAUGAAAAGCACCUUGAAAAGGGGGUUAAACAGUACGUGAAAUUGUUGAAAGGGAAGCGCCUGUGACCAGACUUGCGCCGGGCGGAUCAUCCAGCGUUCUCGCUGGUGCACUCCGCCCGGCUCAGGCCAGCAUCGGUUCUGGCAGGGGGACAAAGGCGGCGGGAACGUGGCUCCCCCGGGAGUGUUAUAGCCCGCCGUGCAAUGCCCCUGCCGGGACCGAGGUUCGCGCAUCUGCAAGGAUGCUGGCGUAAUGGUCACCAGCGACCCGUCUUGAAACACGGACCAAGGAGUCGUCCAUUACGGCGAGCGUUUGGGUGUAAAACCCCUGCGCGGAAUGAAAGUGAACGUAGGUGAGAGCUUCGGCGCAUCAUCGACCGAUCCUGAUGUUCUCGGAUGGAUUUGAGUAAGAGUCGUAACGGACGGACCCGAAAGAUGGUGAACUAUGCCUGUAUAGGGUGAAGCCAGAGGAAACUCUGGUGGAGGCUCGCAGCGGUUCUGACGUGCAAAUCGAUCGUCAAAUAUGGGCAUGGGGGCGAAAGACUAAUCGAACCUCUAUACUGUACGCCG
rnacentral:rRNA from 1 species